rnacentral:rRNA from 1 species
CCUACGGUAGGCAGCAGUGAGGAAUAUUGGUCAAUGGGCGAGAGCCUGAACCAGCCAAGUCGCGUGAGGGAGUACUGCCCUAUGGGUUGUAAACCUCUUUUGUCGGGGAGCAACAGCCGGAAGUGUCCGGCUGUGAGAGUACCCGAAGAAAAAGCAUCUGCUAACUCCGUGCCAGCAGCCGCGGGAAUACGGAGGAUGCGAGCGUUAUUCGGAUUUACUGGGUUUUAAGGGUGGCUAGGGGGAUUUUGAAGUCAGCGGUCAAAUCGUGGGGCUCAACCCCAUCCAGCCGUUGAAACUGGGGAUCUAGAGUGUGCGAGAGGUAUGCGGAAUGCGUGGUGUAGCGGUGAAAUGCAGAGAUAUCACGCAGAACCCCGAUUGCGAAGGCAGCAUACCGGUGCACAACUGACGCUCAGGCACGAAAGCGUGGGUAUCGAACAGGAUUAGAUACCCCAGUAGUC